rnacentral:rRNA from 1 species
UACGGGGGGGGCAAGCGUUGUUCGGAAUUACUGGGCGUAAAGGGUUUGUAGGUGGCUUGUUAAGUCAGACGUGAAAUCCCUCAGCUUAACUGGGGAACUGCGUCUGAUACUGGCGAGCUUGAGUGCAGGAGAGGAACGCGGAAUUCCAGGUGUAGCGGUGAAAUGCGUAGAUAUCGGGAGGAACACCUAUGGCGAAGGCAGCUCGCUGGGACGUUACUGACGCUGAGACGCGAAAGCGUGGGGAGCAAACAGG